GUAGGGGGCGAGCGUUGUCCGGAUUUAUUGGGCGUAAAGAGCUCGUAGGCGGCUCAGCAAGUCGGCCGUGAAAACCCAGGGCUCAACCCUGGGAUGCCGGUCGAUACUGCUGUGGCUAGGGUCCGGUAGAGGAGCGUGGAAUUCCCGGUGUAGCGGUGAAAUGCGCAGAUAUCGGGAGGAACACCAGUAGCGAAGGCGGCGCUCUGGGCCGGCACCGACGCUGAGGAGCGAAAGCUAGGGGAGCAAACAGGAUUAGAUACCCUGGUAGUCCUAGCCGUAAACGUUGGGCACUAGGUGUGGCGGAUGCAUUCACGUCUGCUGCGCCGUAGCUAACGCAUUAAGUGCCCCGCCUGGGGAGUACGGCCGCAAGGCUAAA
rnacentral:rRNA from 1 species